rnacentral:lncRNA from 1 species
UAGGGUGAGGCCCUGUCCCCCUGCAGGGCACAGGGACUUCCUGUCACUGCUUUAGUCCAGGGACACUGCUCUGUCCUCCAGGCCUCAGCUCUCAGGGACCUCCAUGGCUGAGCCCUCCCUUCUGGAGCCCUGGCCUCCUGCCUGCUGUGACCCCACCCUCUGCUGGCUUUCUGUGACCUCGGGGUGCCCUCCCUCUGUCCCCUUCCUGGCCCUCAUCUCUGUCUGUCUGGCAUCUGCUCCUGGGCCUCAGAAGGACCCUGAGGGGAUGAGCCCCCCACACCCCCUGAGGAGCCCCCAUGCCCUGGAGCCCAGGGACCAGGCUCAGUGUUAGGAUGUGAGGCCAGCACUGCAGGAAGGAAGCGGCCAGACCCGCGGAGGCCUCCCGGGAAGCCCCUGAAGUCCCCUGAGGCAGGGACAGAGUCUAGUUUAAUUUCUGAAGGAUCCCUCUGCCACCGAGUGGGAAGCUGGCUGGAGGAGGCAGCGGGAACCAAGCAGACCCCGUCUGCCUCUGUCUCCCUGCUGCAGAGCCCACCUGAUGAAGACCCCCAGGGAGCGGUAUACGCCCAGGUGAAGCACGCAGCACCCAGGGGCAGAGGGGCACGCCCCUCCAGCGGCCCCGUCCGAGGGGGGCUCCUGGACACCAAGGAUGGACAGGCAGGGGAGGGACAGGCAGACGGACGCUCAGGCUGCAGCCCCUGAGGGUCCCCAGGACGUGACCUACGCCCAGCUGUGCAGCUGGACGCUCGGGACGGGGGCACAGCGGCGCCUCCUCCCUCCCGGCCCGGGGCCCUCCCAGCCGAGCCCAGUGUGUAUGCUGCCCUGGCGUCCUCGCCCCGAGCCAUCCCCAGGGACACUGAGUGACGCCUCGGCCAGGGACCGACAGAGCUCCAGAGCUGCAGACCUCCUGAGACUCACCGGCCGCACUGAGAGAACUAAGUGAGCUUCGUGUGCUGGAAACAAAGCCACAGAUAAGGCUGAGGCAGUGAAAUCACAAGUUCCAGCCCAGCCUGCUAGCUACAUAGAAACACCUCAUUGCAAAGUAACUCAAUCAAUCAAUCAAUCACAUUCUAAAACCCACGAAGGAAUUUCAGAAAACACCUUUUAAAAAGUCGACAAAGCCAGCAAUGGUGUCCCACACCUGUAAACCCACCGCUCCGGGAGGCUGAAGCAGGAGACCCGCUAACUCAAGAUCAGCCUGAGCAAUUUAAUGGCUUAAGCGAGAACUCAAGAUAAAAUUAAGUGUUACCAGAUUCUGGGGCUCAUAGGCUCUUCCUGGGAUUCUUUCCAGGUUCUUGUCCUGAACAAAGAAUUUGGACUAGAAGCGUGCAAACGCUAGCGAGGUUUUACAUUUAAUAAAGGUGUGGAAAGAAGCACCCUCUGCGGCGUGGGUGUGGCGCAGGGACCAUGAGGCUCGCUGCGCCAUCUUUUGUGUUCCCCCUCUGACGUCAGAUCCGGGCCGACCCAUCAAAAACCUGGUUGAUUUUUCUCUAGAAGAAUUGAAGAUAGCACUUCCUGAUUGGUCCCAGGGCUGCAGUUCUUUCCUUCCUGGCUGGCCACCAUGAUGUGGGCCCGACCACGUGCCAUUCUUGCCUCGCAGCUGGCCAACCACGCAAGACCUGAAACUUCUGAAUCCUUGAGCGCCUUCCCCACCUUGUGUGAGGAAGCCCACCCCGCCUCGUGGCGAGGACAGGGUGGAUGUCAGCGGCUUGCAGCCAGUUUGGAGGUGAUGUGGUCCCCCGCUCCCACACCGGUGCCGCCCCCUAGUGGUCAGGACUUUUAGCGUGGCGGAAGCCGGUGACCGGAAGGGAAGAAACAUUUCCUGGGGAGAUAACCUCGGGGUUCCUUUUGCUCCUGGUAAAUCUGAGCUCUGGUUUCCCUUGAGUAAUCUAAAGUACAAUGCGUGGUGCAAAUGGCAAAAAAAGGGGGCUGGGGUUCGAGCUUGGUGCAGCGUGAUUCAGUCACAGUGAGAAAAAAGAAAGAGGGAGAGACAAAGGAAGGAAGGAGGGAAGGAAGGAAGGGGAAGGGCCAAUGUCUCCUGCACAUAUAGCCAAUAUAUAAAUUCAGUAGUCAUCCAGACUUCAGCUUUGAAGCAAAAUAUAGCAGAUGAUGCCUCUCUAUUCCCUCAGCCCAGUGAGGCUCCUUUUUCAUCCACUAGGUUUGUGAUAAUUUGUUUCCGCAGCGGUUAUGAAACUGAUACAAUUUUGCGGGGGGGCAGGGUCUCACUACGUAGUGCAGGCUGGUCUUCAACCCACUGUGUAGCCCAGGUGGUCUUUUGUUUUGUUUUUUGGUACUAGGGAUCAAACUGGGGUCCUUGUGCUUGCAAGGCAGGCGGCGGAACCACUGAGCUAAAUCCCUGGCCCUAGGCUGGUCUUGAACUCACAGAGAUCCUCCUGCCUCACCCUUCCCAGGGCUGGAAUUGUAGGCAUAUGCCACCAUCAGGACCACCACCACCCAAGCCAGGCGUUGGUGGUCAUGCCUAUGAUCCUAGCAUUGAGGAGGCUGAGGCAGAAGGAUUGCUGCAAAUUUGAGGCCAGCCUGAGCUACAUACCAAGACUGUAUCUCAGAACAAUAAAUAAAUAAAUAAUAGAGAAGCACUGGGGGAUGUAGCUGCAGCUGCUGAGGGGUUGCUCAACAUGAAGCGUUUCUCAGAAACCAAACCCUUCCUCCCCUGCUGACCACAACUUCCCAGCAAGGCAGAGAAUACAGAAGCUGUGUCCUCCUGACUAUGAGAACCAGAACUCCAAUGCAGGGUCCCCCAGUGCCCCUGCCCUGAGGCCACACACCCAGUCCCCACUCAGGCACCUGCAGAUGGGACACAACAUCCAGAGCCCUAAGAGGUAAUCCCAGCACUCAGGAGGCUGAGGCAGGAGGAUCACUGAGAUCACUGAACUACAGAGCAAGAAGCUGUCUAAAAAAAUAAUCAAUCAAUAAAUAUAUAAAUAAAAAGAAAAAGGGCUGAGGACAUAGCUCAGUGUGAAGACCGUGGGUUCAAUUCCCAGUAGCACAAAAACAAAGCCAGGAAGUUCGCCCAACACCCAAGCCUUGACCCAGCCCCCCGGAAACCAACUUGAUUCAGCCCAGCCCCACACCGAAGGCCCAGGACCCCCCUGGCUCCUGGCCCGGUCACAGCGGGGAAGACCUGGACCUGCACUCACCACUUUCCCUGCCCGGAAAAGGCCCUUCCACCCCAGGUGCAAACAGCCGGCUGUGCGGUCCCUGCAGGCCACUGGGCUGCAGCCCACCCGAGACAGUGACACCCUCUGGGCGCUGCUCACAGCCCAAGCCAGCCGGGCCAGCCAGGCCUCUCCUGCCCACCUGGCCGCACCUGGAGGCAGAGCCCAGGUCGGGCCCGGCUUCUUUCCACUGCUCACGGCUGUGUGCUGGGGGCAAGGACGACACUGAAUGGAACACAAAUCGCACACUGUUCGUUCUGGUUUAUUCUGUGGCUGAAAAACUAAACAGUCCUUCAGCUCAGAAGGAAGUGGUGUGGUCCCAGGGAAGGCAGAGAGCCUGUCCUGGGCUCAAUUCCUCUACUGAAAAAAAAAAAAAAGCUAUUUUAAAAUAAUUUCAGGCCCCAACUAUGGAACCCAAUUUGGAAAAGGGUUUAUUCAACAGGCAAUGGUGGCACACACCUGUAAUUUCAGCACUCUGGAAGGCUGAGGCUGGAGGAUUGCAAAUUGAGCCCAGCCUGGGCAACUUAGUAACCUGGAGAAACCUUGUCUCAAAAAUUCAAAAAUAGGGGCGGGGAUCUAGCUCAGUGGUACUGCUGCCUGCCUUGCAAGCAUAAGGUCCCAAGUUCAAUCCUGGGUACAAAAAAAAAAAAAAGCCAUCCGUGAAUAUUUGGGCUGGGGAUGUAGCUCAGUGGUUUUGCCACCUGCUGCACAAGCCCAAGGACCCGAGUUCGAUCCCUG